rnacentral:SRP_RNA from 1 species
GGUUCGGCGUUACGCAGCGGAAGCAUCAUGAAUUGGGUCAGGCCGGGAACGGAGCAGCUCUAAGUGAAGUUUUCCGGGUGCCGUAGCUGUCCGGACCUCC